UUAUUUAAAUUACCCUUUAAUCGAAACUUUUAUUAUCAAAUAAAGUAAAUAAUACGAGGUUUUUCCAAAAAUUCUCACAUUUUUUAAGUAAUUGAUAAGAUCUUUAAAACAAGCUAAGCUAUACGUUAUUCGGAUGGAAAACACCAGAGUUAUUAACAAAAAACACGAUUAUGUCA
rnacentral:lncRNA from 1 species